rnacentral:rRNA from 1 species
AUGGACGGCGGUGACCACGGGCACCGGUGCAGGUGUCCCCAUGGACCCCGGUGCACCCGCGGACCGCGCCAUGGAGGCCUCGCGGCGGCGGCCCUGGACCCCCGUGUGCGGGCCUUCCCCAUGGACGCCGCGACGCAGGCCAUGUACCGGGAGCACGGCAUGGACCCGGUCACCCUCGAGUCCGACGUGACCACCGCCAUGACCUUCCUCCACUAUGUCCUCCCCAAGCCCUUCGUCUCCAACCGCGCCGCCCUCUCCGCCGCCUUUCUCCCGCCACAGGACGACGACGGCGGCGUCGACCGCAUCAGCGGCCUCCCUGAGGAGCUCCUCCGCAACAUCGUCUCCCGCCUCCCCGCCAAGGACGGCGUGCGCACCGCCGCGCUCUCCUGCCGCUGGCGCCGGGUCUGGCUCUCCACCCCGCUCGUCCUCGUCGACGCCGACCUCCUCCCCGCCGGAUGCGGCUCCAGCCUGCGGGUCGAGCGCGCCCACGCGCAGCGCGUCGAGUCCGCCAUCACCCGCAUCCUCGACGCGCACCCGGGGCCCUUCCGCUUCGUCCACCUCAUCUCAUGCCACAUGCAGGAGACCCCCGGCCUGCUCGCGCGCUGGCUCCAGCUCCUCGCCGUCAAGGGCGUCCGGGAGCUCAUGCUCGUCAACCGCCCGUGGCCGCUCGACAUGGCCCUCCCCGCCACCUUCUUCGGCAUGGCCACCCUCACCCGCCUCUACCUUGGCACCCUUGCCUUCCCUAACACGGCCGACCUCCCGCGCGGAGUGUCGUUCCCACACCUCCGCGAGCUGGGCCUCUUGGGCAUGGCCAUUGUGAACCGGGACAUGGACUUCGUCCUCGCCAGGAGCCCUGUGCUGGAGAUCCUCUGCAUCCAGGCCAACGUUCUGCUCAAGUGGCUCACCCUCGUCAGCCGCAGCCUCCGGUGCGUGCAGAUCAUAGAAGGCAUCGAUCUGAAUAUCGUCGUCAAGAACGCCCCUAACCUUGAGAGGGUCAUCAUCUGGACAUCAUCGGCCCGCGAUGGCCUGCACAGGAUGGUCAAGAUUGGCCAUGCCCCUGCGCUGAGCUUACUUGGCUACUUGGAGCCGGCACGACACCUGCUAGCGAUCGGCAACACCAUCAUCAAGGCUGGGACGAAGGCAAGCCCAAGCACCACGGUCCCGAGCGUUAAGAUCCUCAGCUUAAGAGUGUGCUUUGGUGUCCGCAACGAUGCUAAGAUGCUGCCGAGCUUCCUCAGAUGCUUCCCCAACGUCGAGAGGCUACAUCUCGAGUCCAAUGAGACUGAUGAGCCCACAGGCAAGCUCAACAUCAAGUUCUGGCACGAGGCCGGUGCCAUCGAGUGCAUCCAGUCACACCUGAAGCUGAUGGUCUUCUACGCCUUCCGAGGGGAGCGGGGCGAGCUCUCCUUCCUCAAGUUCGUCCUGGAGAGCGCUCGGAUGCUGACGAAGCUGGUGAUUGUGUUCUGCAAAGGGAGCUUCGCUUCGAUGGCCGAGGCCAACUCCAAAGUGAAACCUCUGUUCGACGCAAGAUGGGCCAGCCGAGACUGUUCGCUGGUGCUCUUCGAGAGUCCACUCGAAAAGGGAGAUGACAAGUGGGUGCUGAACUUCGAGAGAGGAUCUGAUUUCUCCACCACGGACCCGUUCGCGUGCACUGCUGCCCUUGAGGGCUGCGUCGUCUGA